UGUGACAGUUAAUUUGCCAACUUGACGUAA
rnacentral:piRNA from 1 species